UGGUUUUCCAGGCAAAUCCGGAAAAUCAAGGCUGAGGCGUGACGACGAGGCACUACGGUGCUGAAGCAACAAAUGCCCUGCUUCCAGGAAAAGCCUCUAAGCAUCAGGUAACAUCAAAUCGUACCCCAAACCGACACAGGUGGUCAGGUAGAGAAUACCAAGGCGCUUGAGAGAACUCGGGUGAAGGAACUAGGCAAAAUGGUGCCGUAACUUCGGGAGAAGGCACGCUGACACGUAGGUGAAGUGAUUUACUCACGGAGCUGAAGUCAGUCGAAGAUACCAGCUGGCUGCAACUGUUUAUUAAAAACACAGCACUGUGCAAACACGAAAGUGGACGUAUACGGUGUGACGCCUGCCCGGUGCCGGAAGGUUAAUUGAUGGGGUCAGCGCAAGCGAAGCUCCUGAUCGAAGCCCCGGUAAACGGCGGCCGUAACUAUAACGGUCCUAAGGUAGCGAAAUUCCUUGUCGGGUAAGUUCCGACCUGCACGAAUGGCGUAAUGAUGGCCAGGCUGUCUCCACCCGAGACUCAGUGAAAUUGAACUCGCUGUGAAGAUGCAGUGUACCCGCGGCAAGACGGAAAGACCCCGUGAACCUUUACUAUAGCUUGACACUGAACAUUGAGCCUUGAUGUGUAGGAUAGGUGGGAGGCUUUGAAGCGUGGACGCCAGUCUGCGUGGAGCCGACCUUGAAAUACCACCCUUUAAUGUUUGAUGUUCUAACGUGGACCCGUAAUCCGGGUUGCGGACAGUGUCUGGUGGGUAGUUUGACUGGGGCGGUCUCCUCCUAAAGAGUAACGGAGGAGCACGAAGGUUGGCUAAUCCUGGUCGGACAUCAGGAGGUUAGUGCAAUGGCAUAAGCCAGCUUGACUGCGAGCGUGACGGCGCGAGCAGGUGCGAAAGCAGGUCAUAGUGAUCCGGUGGUUCUGAAUGGAAGGGCCAUCGCUCAACGGAUAAAAGGUACUCCGGGGAUAACAGGCUGAUACCGCCCAAGAGUUCAUAUCGACGGCGGUGUUUGGCACCUCGAUGUCGGCUCAUCACAUCCUGGGGCUGAAGUAGGUCCCAAGGGUAUGGCUGUUCGCCAUUUAAAGUGGUACGCGAGCUGGGUUUAGAACGUCGUGAGACAGUUCGGUCCCUAUCUGCCGUGGGCGCUGGAGAACUGAGGGGGGCUGCUCCUAGUACGAGAGGACCGGAGUGGACGCAUCACUGGUGUUCGGGUUGUCAUGCCAAUGGCACUGCCCGGUAGCUAAAUGCGGAAGAGAUAAGUGCUGAAAGCAUCUAAGCACGAAACUUGCCCCGAGAUGAGUUCUCCCUGAGACUUAGAGUCUCCUGAAGGAACGUUGAAGACGACGACGUUGAUAGGCCGGGUGUGUAAGCGCAGCGAUGCGUUGAGCUAACCG
rnacentral:rRNA from 1 species